rnacentral:rRNA from 1 species
AGAGUUUGAUCAUGGCUCAGAUUGAACGCUGGCGGCAGGCCUAACACAUGCAAGUCGAACGGUAACAGAAAGCAGCUUGCUGCUUUGCUGACGAGUGGCGGACGGGUGAGUAAUGUCUGGGAAACUGCCUGAUGGAGGGGGAUAACUACUGGAAACGGUAGCUAAUACCGCAUAACGUCGCAAGACCAAAGAGGGGGACCUUCGGGCCUCUUGCCAUCGGAUGUGCCCAGAUGGGAUUAGCUAGUAGGUGGGGUAAAGGCUCACCUAGGCGACGAUCCCUAGCUGGUCUGAGAGGAUGACCAGCCACACUGGAACUGAGACACGGUCCAGACUCCUACGGGAGGCAGCAGUGGGGAAUAUUGCACAAUGGGCGCAAGCCUGAUGCAGCCAUGCCGCGUGUAUGAAGAAGGCCUUCGGGUUGUAAAGUACUUUCAGCGGGGAGGAAGGGAGUAAAGUUAAUACCUUUGCUCAUUGACGUUACCCGCAGAAGAAGCACCGGCUAACUCCGUGCCAGCAGCCGCGGUAAUACGGAGGGUGCAUGCGUUAAUCGGAAUUACUGGGCGUAAAGCGCACGCACGCGGUUUGUUAAGUCAAAUGUA